rnacentral:rRNA from 1 species
GGGUAGGUCAGGCGAGUUUAAAAUUCGGACGCGGUAUCCCGUCUGAUCUCGUAACGAUAAGCCAGCGAGCGCCGGAUUAGUAGUUGGGUUAGUGAUGACCAGCGAAUACCUGGUGUUGUAUGUU